AGCGGCUCCGGCUGUGCGGGAUGUCACAGGGUGUGAGGGGGUAGUACAUGGCGUGGAGGGCGGCUCAGGCUGUGCGGGGUGUGAGGGAUGUCACAGGGGUAAUGGGGGUAGUACGUGGCGUGCGGGAUGUCACAGGCUGUGCGGGGGUGGCGCAGGGCACCGCGGGGACAGGGGACACCCGUGGUGGCGGUGCGGGGAGCGGGGCACGCAGCGGUGUGAGGGGCCAGGGCGCUGCCGAGGCCGGUGUCAGCGGCUGCUCUGGCCCGCGGCAGCGCCGCCGGGAAUGCCCUCUGCAGCCCGGGCCAUCCCGGCCGCUGCUCGGCGGCACUGGCGGCAGUGACAGCGGGCAGCUCCCUCCUGUCACAGCGCCCGUCAUCUCCCGUGUGACAGCACCGGCCUCUCUCCGUGACUGCGGCCCGUGGGUCCCUGGGCUGGGGAAAGCCGAAGGCUUGGCCAUCCUGCAUCUUCUUCGAAGUACAAACAUACCCAGACUCAGAAUGAGCUGCAGCAACUGGAUAAAUCUACUGGGACCAUAAAGAACUCAAGUGGUUAAUUUGGGUUAAAGGUGGAAUGCCUCAUGUCCCUCAAGUGGCUCAGCAGAUCAGCCAGGAGGAAAACCAGCAAAAUGGACCAAAUUUGUCAAGUUUGCUUCAUUCCUUACCUGCUGCACACAGCAGGAACCCAGCUCUGCCCCAGCAGGUACAACCAGCAGGGUGGGAUAAGAACCAUGUGCUUGUGGUCCCAGCUCCAGUGCCCUCACAGCAACAGCACACAGACUGGUCUCUAUUUGAGAUGAUUGGGAUGGAAAACCAAAUUACUUGUUAUGAAGCACAAAUGCUGCCAAAACUGAAGGUAUCUGGAAAACUCAUUGAAGAGAUCUCCUGCUCCCCUUCAUCACCCAGACUUGAGCCAGUGAAGCUCCAACCAAACAGGGUAUUCCAGAAGAAAGAGACAACUGAAGGAACACCUGGACAAAAUAUUCUUCUGGAAUGAGUGUCAUAUUUCCAGAACGCCCCUGUAUGGCAGAGACCUGUUGGAAACUUGCUUUGGGAUCAGUGAAAGAAAAAUCUCUCACAUUGUUGUGCCAGGAUUAACAAGUGGUGCUGGCUUUGCAAAUUGCCUUCCAUACUCCAGCACUUCAGAGGCUCUAAGGAUCCAUUGCAGGAACUCAUUCUGACUCUGACACAGUAGCAGAUUGCCCUGAAGGAUGUUAUUUCCAGAGACCUCUGUGUGUUCCCAGCUGUAGUUGUUGCUCCUCCAUAUUAAUAUGGAGCAAAUCCUUCUUACACAUGGAUCCAUGGAAUGGAAGUCCUGCAGUUCAGUCUUGAGGAGCAGAGAUGGUGCAGCAUGAGUCAGGUAUUAAACAGCAGCAUGGGUCACAGCUCUGUGCAGGGGCUGUCUCUAACUGUGAGUGUCACCUGCAGAAUUUCAUUUCUCAUUCAGAACCAGGCAAGCUUUCAGUUUGGCAGCUGAAAGCAGAAGGGACAGCAGGUGCUGAUUUUGACACAGAUGAUUGCAGUGCUCAGCAUCCUGAAGCUUUUCCUGAAUUUCCAUUUCCUCACGUGAGUGAGGGUUAGUGAGAGUGGUGCUCACAGCUGGCAUUAUCUGGUAAGAGGAUCUCUUCCUCAAGCUCAUAGUGAGUAGAUGCUCAUGGUAGGAGGGAAAAUGCUAAAGGGAAGUCUGAGACAUUUGCAAGAUUCAUUUACAUAAAGUCCUUACUUAUUAAAGCAAAUUAUGUACGUAGCUGUAGCUCAAAUAUGUAAUUAUAUAUGAAAUAUGUCAGUCAUAUUACUAUUUGAUGAGGCAUUUAGGGUGUUUCCAAGGAGUAUACCACUACUUAUCCUAUGUUUAUGAGCAAUUUGUGCUUCAAAUGCAGAUGGUUUUUUUUCACAAUAGCCAUUUGAUUAAUUUGCUUUUGCUUUCAUUAUCUGUAGCUAUUUACAUUGUUAAUACUUUAAGUGUAGUUGGUGUUUUUAUGUUGGCAGUUCCUCAGCCUUACUCCAGGGGCUUUUAUUUUUCAUGGAGUGCCCUGGCAUUGCCUGAGGAUAAAUUGAAAGUAUGCUCCUUUCCCUCCCCAGUAAGAUUCUCUGUAUCCUCUGGGGCCUACAAUUUGAGCAAACACUAACAAUAUAUUGAAGUUUUUCUUAUUUUUUUAUUCCAAAUUGCAUCAUUAUGCUUUCUGUUAGAUGCAGUAUAAUACAUAAAAGAAUACUUUGCCUUGAAGCAACACAAGGCAGCACAACAGAAGGGAUUUGAUUUAGUCAAUAGACAAGAAAAAUGAUGGAGCAUGUACAGGAACAACAACUCAGUCAGGUGUGCUUAGUCAUAGGACAUAAUGUGAUUACUUGUAAUAGAUCUCCAGAUUUUAUAUUGCUGACUGCACCAUAAAUUAAUAGCUUUAAUGGUAGACAAAUUAAUUAUGAACGGUGUAGAUCUAUAAUGUGGGCAGUCAGAUAACUUGAAAUGUUUGCACACUUAAUGUAGGUUGGGAAAAUAAUAAGAAAGCAAUUUUUCCAAUCUUCUCACUCUGUUAAAAAAAGUUUGUUUAGAGAUUUAUCCUAUAUUAAUGUAAAUUUGUAAUUAAGUUGCUUGUUUCCCCGUUUUAGGAAUUCAUAAAAAGCUUCAGCCAAGACAAGUGAUCCUUCUGUGCUAUCCUGUCUUCCCACACUCCCUCCACAGGUGUCAGUCCCACAGAUGUGAUUCCUGUUGUCUUCUAUGACACUGAGGAACACAAAGAUGGGUGUGACAAAAGUGCAAGAGGCAGAGACACCCACACAUACAGGCUUGUAAGUGGUAAUGCUAUUGAAGAGAGGCUGUUGAAAAAGAGUAUUAAACAUGAUUCAAGAACUGGCUGCUCAGGGAAGGGAUUGUUCAACAGACUUUUUAUCUCAGAACGUAGGUGGUCAUCUCCUUGUGUUAGACAAGCCUGUGCUAACGACCAGAAUUCUGAUUGUAUUCAAAUCUGUAUAAAUCCCUUCGAGUUGAUGACAAUGACUACUAGAAAAAGAAGUUCCUCAUAUAGAUUUCUCUAAGUUUACUUCCACUGUCAAUGUUUUUCUCACAUUUAACAGUAAAUCACUGGUGGUCUG